CUCGCUGCCGCCUUGCAGUUUGAUCUCAGACUGCUGUGCUAGCAAUCAGCGAGACUCCGUGGGCGUAGGCCCCUCUGAGCCAGGUGCAGGAUAUAAUGUGGUGGUGCGCCAUUUUUUAAGCCCGUCGGAAAAGCGCAGUAUUCGGGUGGGAGUGACCCGAUUUUCCAGGUGCCCUCCGUCACCCCUUUCUUUGACUCAGAAAGGGAACUCCCUGACCCCUUGCGCUUCCCAAGUGAGGCAAUGCCUCGCCCUGCUUCGGCUCACACACGUUGCGCGCACUCACUGACCUGCGCCCACUGUCUGGCACUCCCUAGUGAGAUGAACCCGGUACCUCAGAUGGAAAUGCAGAAAUCACCCGUCGUCUUCAUCGCUCACGCUGGGAGCUGUAGAGCGGAGCUGUUCCUAUUCGGACAUCUUGACUCCUCCCAAUAUUUAUUCUUUCUAUCCAGGCACUAAGUUCAACUUUGAAAAAAAAAAGUUCCCUGUUCAACUUUUGGGGACAGAAAAGUUAAAGAGCAUCCAAAAAGAUGACAACUUACAUCUCCUUGAUACCUGCUGGAUGCUGGGAGGAGACACAGGAGCAUGAAUAGGACAGAAUAGAUUAUAAAGGAGAAAUUGAACAGGAGAUGAGAGCAUUCAAGAGCUCCAUUCAAAAUUAUGAAACAUGAUUUUCUAUUUGAUACUAUUCUUCUUUCAUUUAUUCAUUCAACAGAUGACAAAGUUCAAUGAUAAUCAUUCUUUGAAGUUUAUCUACCCAAACUGGAGCCAUGUCAAAAGACUCCUUGAAGAAUGAUUGCUGGGGAAGAAAUCAAUGGCAUCAACAGAAAGAACAAAGACAGAAAAUGUAAAAGGCAAGGGGAAAAGAAAAAGAAAGACAUAAAAAUUUAAGAAAAAAGAGGCAAAAGAAAACUAAAAAAAUAGAGACUAGGCUUCUUUAAUGGCUCCAACAGAAAUUAAAAAAAAAAAAAAAAAAACUACAUCUGCCUUUUGCUUUUGAAUAAAUAGAACAUUUUACCAAUAAUGCCAAGAUGACUCACAACACACAUUUUAUGUAUCUUGUAAUUUUCCUAUACACUGCAAAGACAACAUAGUUGAGCUAAUACUAGCGAAGUCUUACAUGUAAUUAUAGGAUGCCUAUAGCAUUUCUAGUAUAAUAUAUUAAUGAAAACCAGUUAUUUAAUUAUGGCAUAAUAUCAUGAAAAGCUUUUAUAGUCACUUGCUAAAACAGACCAAAAAAACAUUUUCCCAAAUAUAGCUGAGGAACAGUAGAAUCGUAUCUUGAUGUCAGUAGAUGCCUUUGCCGGGGUGUAGAAACAGCUUCUCCUGUCAUUAAAAGGACAAACUGUAAUCCAUCUGCCAUGUAUAAUUUGACAAUCUGCAAUCUUUAAACAGUAGGAGGGAAAGACAUGUCUUCCAAAAUUUCCCCUGAAGGAGGAGGCUUUCAGCAGUUCCCAAUUACUAUCUAGGCCUAAUGUCUCACUUGAGACAUCUGCUCAGCAGUUAGUAGUGAAAACCUGGCAUACAGGAGAUCAGAGGUGUGCCUCAUAAUUAUUGUUGGCCUUUAAAUGGCCAACUUUUAGAAUAUGAGCCAAUCACUAAGCUUCAGGUGUGCAUUUUGGCAACCUUUGGUGGGGUGCCAGUAUAAACCCCCAGAUCUAACUUUUGUUCACAUAAACUUCUGAGAUGAUAAUCUUUCUAAAGUUCAAGGUGGAAAAAUUCACUGUGAAGUGAGUCUGGGUUCAGUAAUGAGCCAAAGAUCUUAACACAUUUCUACUGAUAAUAGAAGAAUGAAAAUCAUAGAAUGCCAUAGAUCCAUGUUUCCUGCAGAUAAGGAUUGCUUUCUUGGGACCCAUUUCAGCUCAUUACAUUUAUUAAGUCAACUAAAAAUCUUUCCUGGCACUGGUUCAGAAUGCACAAAGCUGUUGUCUACAAAAACCUACUUUAGUUACCACGUGGGUGUUUUCCCAGGUAGGGGUGAUUUUAAAGGGAAAAUAAGAAAAUGGAAAAUUCCAUUUUGCAGAUUUAGGCUUACCUUCUGAAAUCUUGAGAAUGCUGGGUGAGAUUUAAGACAGACUCUGUCGUUCUAUCAUCAGAGAAAUGCAAAUCAAAACCGCAAUGAGAUACUAUCUCACACCAGUCAGAAUGGCUUUUGAUAAAGAGUCAAAAAAUAACAGAUGUUGGCAAGGCUGUGGAGAAAAGGGUGAACUGAUACUCUGUUGCAAUGUAAAUUAGUCCAGCCACUGUGGAGGGGGCAGUUUGGAGAGUUUGGAAAGAAGUGAGAGUUGAACUGCCAUUCAAACCAGCAAUUCCAUUACUAGAUAGGUCUGGAUGUCUGGAAAAUAAAUUGCUGUACCAAAAGGAAACAUGCACCUGUAUGUUCACUGCAGCACUAUUCACAAUAGCAAAAACGUGGAAUCAACCCAGUUGCCCAUCAACAGUGGAAUGAAUUAAAAAAAUGUGGUACAUGUACACCAUGGAAUACUAUGUAGCCAUAAAUAAGAAUAAAAUCAUGUCAUUUGCGGCAAUAUGGAUAUAGCUGGAGGUCAUUAUCCUAAGUGAAUGAAUGUAAAAAAAGAAAACCAAACGCUGCAUGCUCUUAUUUAUAAAUGGGAGCUAAACAUUGAGUACUAAUGGACUUAAAGAUGGGAAUAAUAGACACUGGGGACUACUAAAGGGUGUGAGAGAGGGAGGGGGGAAGGGCUGAGAAACUACCCAUCGGGUAUUAUGCCCACUACCUGUGUGACAGGCUCAGUCAUACUCCAAACCCCAGCACCACACAAUAUACCUUUGUAACAAACCUGCACAUGUACGUCCUGAUUCCAAAAUAAAAGUUGGAAAAGAAAAUAAAAAAGAUGAACUCUUUGCAGAAAAGCAACGAGCUGAAAGGUACAAAUAACAGUAUUGUUAAUGGGGAAAAGAACCAGUUGAUGCUUUCUUCAUGUGCAACGGUGAGAUUGUUUCAAAACAAGUAGCAUCUGCAAGCAUCCCUUCCCAACAGCCAAAAGACCCAAUCAGGGAGGGGAAAAUGACAACCAAAUGUAAUAUGGGAUCCUAGAUUGGACCUCAGAGAAGAAAAAGG
rnacentral:lncRNA from 10 species